rnacentral:misc_RNA from 1 species
GAUGAAGAACGUAGCGAAAUGCGAUAAGUAAUGUGAAUUGCAGAAUUCAGUGAAUCAUCGAAUCUUUGAACGCACAUUGCGCCCGCCAGUAUUCUGGCGGGCAUGCCUGUUCGAGCGUCAUUACAACCCUCAGGCCCCCGGGCCUGGCGUUGGGGAUCGGCGGAAGCCCCCUGCGGGCACAACGCCGUCCCCCAAAUACAGUGGCGGUCCCGCCGCAGCUUCCAUUGCGUAGUAGCUAACACCUCGCAACUGGAGAGCGGCGCGGCCACGACGUAAAACACCCAACUUCUGAAUGUUGACCUCGAAUCAGGUAGGAAUACCCGCUGAACUUAAGCAUAUCAAUAAGCGGAGGA